GGUUCCAUAGUGUAGCGGUUAUCAUGUCUGCUUUACACGCAGAAGGUCCUGGGUUCGAGCCCCAGUGGAACCA
rnacentral:tRNA from 3 species